AACGAACGCUGGCGGCAGGCCUAACACAUGCAAGUCGAGCGAGAUCUUCGGGUCUAGCGGCGGACGGGUGAGUAACGCGUGGGAAUAUGCCUCUUGGCACGGAAUAGCCUCGGGAAACUGGGAGUAAUACCGUAUGUGCCCUUUGGGGGAAAGAUUUAUCGCCAAGAGAUUAGCCCGCGUUGGAUUAGGUAGUUGGUGGGGUAAUGGCCUACCAAGCCGACGAUCCAUAGCUGGUUUGAGAGGAUGAUCAGCCACACUGGGACUGAGACACGGCCCAGACUCCUACGGGAGGCAGCAGUGGGGAAUCUUAGACAAUGGGGGCAACCCUGAUCUAGCCAUGCCGCGUGAGUGAUGAAGGCCUUAGGGUUGUAAAGCUCUUUCAGCUGGGAAGAUAAUGACGGUACCAGCAGAAGAAGCCCCGGCUAACUCCGU
rnacentral:rRNA from 1 species